rnacentral:lncRNA from 1 species
GGGUGAGAGACUUAGAACUGUUCUAGGUUCUCGGAUGAGGAAAAAACUAAAGAAAAAAGAGUCUUCAUCUGAUUUUUCUUCACCAUCCAACAUCCUCCUCUGAUCCAUCUUCGACAUUAGAAAGGUUUGAGGUGAUCAAAAAAAGAGAUCAAGUUAGAUCUGCCAUCAGAAGUCGACUGUGCGAGCUAGCACUCCCACAGAAGGCUGAUCGAUUUGAGGGGCUUCGUGUGGACCAUCUGUAGAGGCCGGAUACUUGUACGGCUGUGAGCAACCAGAGAGGACU